GACGAACGCUGGCGGCGUGCUUAACACAUGCAAGUCGAACGGAAAGGCCCUGCUUUUGUGGGGUUCUCGAGUGGCGAACGUGUGAGUAACACGUGAGUAACCUGCCCUUGACUUUGGUAUAACUUCAGGAAACUGGGGCUAAUACCGGAUAGGAGCUCCUGCUGCAUGGUGGUGGUUGGAAAGUUUCGGCGGUUGGGGAUGGACUCGCUGCUUAUCAGCUUGUUUGUGGGGUAGUGGCUUACCAAGGCUUUGACGGGUAGCCGGCCUGUGAGGGUGACCGGACAAAGUGGGAAUGAGAUACGGCCCAGACGACAACGGGAGGAAGCAGUGGGGAAUAUUGAAAAAUGGGAGGAAGCGUGAUGCAGAAACGCAGCGUGCGGGAUGAAGGCAUUCGGGUUGUAAAAAGAAUUAGAAUGUGAAGAAGAGUGAGUGACGGUAAUGGGUAAAGAAGCACCGGCUAACUACGUG
rnacentral:rRNA from 1 species